ensembl:lncRNA
AAUGAACCCGAAGAUUUGGAUCAUCUUUUCUGUUUGUGUGAAGUUGUACAAAGGUUCUGGCUGGACCUUCAACAAUUGUUCAUCUCCAAAGGAAUUCAGAUGAUGAAUCUAACAAUUAAUGAUAUAAAAUUUGGUAUUUUUCGAAAUGAUCACAUUGAUUUUGGCAUUAACAAUGUAAUUUUGUUAAGUAAACAUUUUAUACAGAAAUGUCGUUUUAUCAAGACAAUUCCUAACAUUACUCAUUGGAGGAAUGAGUUUAAACUUUAUUAUAACUCUUUAUUAUGGAUUAAUAACAAGAAUGCAGUGAAACUAGCUUCUUUUAUAAACAAUCUUAUUGAAUAAUUGCCCUUUUGAUUCAUUUUCUUUUGAUUAUGUAAAUGCCAUCUUUGUCAUUUAUAACAUGCCCCAUGUUCUUCUGUUCUUUUAUGUAUUUAUUUUCUAAGAUGUGCACUGUAGAUUCGUAGUAAGAUUUUCACAUUGUACCUGAUUUGUUUGUAUUUGCUUCGUUAAUUCAAUUAAAAAAAUAAAAAUAAUUGGAUCUGACCCAGAUGGCAACGAGUACUAGUCAAUUGGCAGAGCAGGGCAAUCUGUUUUUUUUUUUUCUGGUUAGGAAAACGUCAUCAGUGAGUGACGUAAAUUUUAAAUGAAUGCGUGACUGAUGGUGACUGACUGGACUGUAGGAGAGUUUUUUGGAGGAACAAAUGCCUGGGACAAAGUGGGCGAAAUACGGGAAGAAAUAUAACGAAGACCGGGAGAAAGAAAAAGGAGUAAAAGAAUGGAUUCAACCCGUCGUGGGGGACGACUCAAAAGCACUGUGCAGAGGGGGCUCUGUAGAAAAAGUCGCUUGUUUUAGGCUUGUUUUCACAGGCCUGGUUGCUUAUUUGUCUCGCGAGAUGUGGCAACACUGCCCGGAAUUCGCUGCACUGGCGCUGCAGUCUGCAGAAGAGCGAGCGAGGUUGUGUACUGGGUAAGAUAACUAACUUUACAUCUUAAACUCAGUGACAAGUCAACUUAAUUAUUAUUUUUUUUUAUUUACUUAAUUAUUCACUUUGUGGUGUUUAUCUGUGCUGCUGCAUGACGAAUCACAUCCUCCUCACUGUAAAAAUGAAUAAAUAAAAUCAUAUACAUGUAUAUAAAAACA